rnacentral:lncRNA from 1 species
AUGUCCCUUGCUCACAAAUAUCUCUACUUCCACAAGAGUGACGACACUCUUCUCCGCUUUGUCUUUACAGAUCUGUCGUUGAGAGCGCUUGGAUUUUCCACAGGUCCUUCUCCCCAGAUAGCUGGUCAUGUUGGUAUGUGCAACUUGACCAGAAAAGCAGGAAACAGCAGAGGGAAGAGGAAGAGAAAGCCUCUCAUUAAGAAACAUCUUUUACCCACACGCUGAUCGCAAACACCGACCCUGGGAUUUGCAAAGCCUGGACUACUUGAGUAAGAACUUUUUACUGGAAUCAAAGGACAGAGCUUCAGGAAAGAACAUGGGUUUAGAGUCAGACAGCCCUGGGUUCAUUCCCCUCCCGGUUCCCACAUUUCCUAGCUAUGUGUCCUUGGGUAACUUAGCUCUUCUGGGCAGAUUGCCCAUCUGUGAAAAACAGGACUAAUGCUUGCCUCAUGGGUUACAUGAGCAUUAUAGAAAAUGUGUGUGAGUACUUAGCAUCGAGCCUAGCAAGUAGCAGGUAUUCAUAAAGUGUUAGCUGACACUGGAGCGGCCAUCAGAGUAGUAAAACAUCUAACAGAGUGCCUGACACAUAGGAAAACUACUCCAUUACUAUUUUUCAUGUGCCUUCUCCUAGGCUCAAACGCCCCAGGCUUCCUGCAACCAAAGAGUCUGGGGCCCUUGGUUCUGGGGUUAGCUGUGUCUCUUACAGGCUCUGUGACCUUGAGAGUAGUCACGUUACCUCUCUGGACUCCGGCUUUCUCCUCUCUCAAGAAGGUGAGCUAAAAGGAAGCUGCUGCAACUCCCCUUAGGACACAGUAGGGUGUCAGUUCACACGCACUGAAUGGAGAGAGACCUGUGUCCCAUUUCGUGGUCUCUGGAACCCAAUAGGCAAGAACGGUUUCCUGCAAACUGAUGGGGUCAACAGGAUUUGGCAGAACCUCCCCCUCCCCAGUGGUUAUGGCAGGCCCCUAAUUUUCCCGCGCUGGUCUCUAACCACUGAAGAAGGGGUGACCCGACAGUGAACUUGGUUGAAAUGAAUUAUGACUCAGUUACCAAAAAAAAAAAAAAAAGAAAGAAAGAAAAAAACAGCACUUGAGACAUAGUUGGGAGGCAGGCAGGAGACAUUCCAACCAAAAAAUAGAAAGCAAAAGAGGGUGAGAGCUUUUAAACAUAUAUAUUAAAAGCAUUUACAGCGAGCAAAUGGAUUUUUUAAGUCCAAAGUGAUUUU